CACGUAGGGUGCAAGCGUUGUCCGGAUUCAUUGGGCGUAAAGGGCUAGUAGGCGGCUUAGCAAGUCGGGUGUGAAAACUUCAGGCUCAACCUGGAGCGGCCAUCUGAUACUGCUAUGGCUAGAGUCCGGUAGGGGACCACGGAAUUCCUGGUGUAGCGGUGAAAUGCGCAGAUAUCAGGAGGAACACCGGUGGCGAAGGCGGUGGUCUGGGCCGGAACUGACGCUGAAUAGCGAAAGCGUGGGUAGCGAACAGG
rnacentral:rRNA from 1 species